GUUCUCAUACCAUUUAAAGAACUGAAAGAGACAGAUGUGCACACAGGUAGGUUUCAGUGUUAUAAGGGCUACAAUGAACUUUGAAGCACAUUUGAGACAUCACAGAAGAAAUGGCUAGCCAUCUCUUCAAGAGAUGAGGAUAGUGUGGCAAAAAUUGCACUGUGCAUGAACAGGAAUUGAGACAAAACCUGAAAAACUGUCCUGUUCAUUUUUUCUAACUUUGGGCUUAAGGAAGGCAAUUGUCUGCCUUGAAAUGGAUGUAUCAGUGAGGCAUCAGGAGACUACAAGUUCAAAGUUCUUCAAACUCACUGUCUAUUGGAUGGCGCGAUUAAUGGUCCAGGCUCUGUUGUUCCAUCGUUUUUGUUGGUUUUACUGCAUUCCAUUCUACUAGUUAGUAGUUUAAAAGGCCACCCAAGAGCUCCAACAUGUAAAGAGCUAGGAAGUCAUGCUUACAAGAAAAAGCCA
rnacentral:lncRNA from 10 species